UACAGAGGUCUCAAGCGUUGUUCGGAUUCAUUGGGCGUAAAGGGUGCGUAGGCGGCGCGGUAAGUCGGGUGUGAAAUCUCGGGGCUUAACUCCGAAACUGCAUUCGAUACUGCCGUGCUUGAGGACUGGAGAGGAGACUGGAAUUUACGGUGUAGCGGUGAAAUGCGUAGAUAUCUGGAGGAACACCGGUGGCGAAGGCGGCAUUCUGGACCGACAUUGACGCUGAGGAGCGAAAGCCAGGGGAGCAAACGGG
rnacentral:rRNA from 1 species